UACGUAGGUGGCAAGCGUUGUCCGGAAUUGUUGGGCGUAAAGCGCGCGCAGGCGGUCCUUUAAGUCUGAUGUGAAAGCCCACGGCUCAACCGUGGAGGGUCAUUGGAAACUGGGGGACUUGAGUGCAGGAGAGAAGAGUAGAAUUCCACGUGUAGCGGUGAAAUGCGUAGAGAUGUGGAGGAACACCAGUGGCGAAGGCGACUCUUUGGCCUGUAACUGACGCUGAGGCGCGAAAGCGUGGGGAGCAAACAGG
rnacentral:rRNA from 1 species